GUUGGGCAUGGUGGCGCAUGCCUGUAAUCCCAGAGGCUUGGGAGGUUGAGGCAGGAGGAUCGCUAUCACGAGUUCAAAGCCAGCCUCAG
rnacentral:sRNA from 1 species